rnacentral:rRNA from 1 species
UAAAAAGAAAUUAUUAUGGAUAAUUAGCUAUAUAUUAAAGAAUCACAUAGAUGUUAUCUUGAUUCUAAGAGAAAUCCUAAAUAAUAAAACAAAGUGAAUUGAAAUAUCUUAGUAACUUUAGGAAAAUAAAUCAAACGAGAUUGUUAUUUAAGUAAAUACUAAAUAAUAAUAGCCUAAUUUAAGUAAAAUGGAUAAUAUCUGUUUGAAUAUAGGGGAACCUUCCUCUAAGGCUAAAUAUGAUAUAUAAGCGAUAGUGAAUAGUACCGUGAGGUAAAAUUUGAAAUAGUAAUUUUAUAAGCAGCUCGAGUAAAAAUUAAAAUUAAAAAUAAGAGUGUACCUUUUGCAUAAUGGGUCAGCAAGUUAAUUUUAGAUGCAAGUGUAUAAUUUUUAGUAUUUUUUGAGAUAUUAAAUUAUCUAAGAUAAACCAAUUAUGAAAAAAUGAUAAGUAUCUAAAAUUAGACCCGAAGGCUAGUGAUCUUACCAUGGUCAGGGUUAAAAAAGCCCGAACGGGUUAUCGUUGUAUAGAUAUCCGAUGAAUUGUGGUAAGUUAGUGAAAGAUAAAACUGACUAGUAUAGCUGGUUUUCCGCGAAACCUAUGUGAGUAGGUAAUUUAAUUAACAUCUUAGCAGGUACAGAACUGUGAUCUCGGACAAUAUUAUUUAUAUAAUAUUUGUUUACAUCGGGGGAUUGUAGUGAUUUUAUCGGAGAGUAUUUGCACUCGGAAGGGCAAAGAUGAUUGUUGAAUAAUCGGACAUAGUACGAUAAGGUUGUAUGUCUAAAGGGAAACAGCCCAGAACAAGAGUUUAAGGUUCCAAAAUUAUUGUUAAGUGAAAUUAAGGAUGUUUUUUUCAAAAACAAUCAGGAAAUAGGCUUAGAGGCGGCCAUUUUUUGAAGAUCUCGUAACAGAGCACUGAUUAAAUUUAAUAGGAAAAAAUACCGAAAAUUUAACGGAUCUAAAUAAUAUACCGAAACCUUGUACACAAUAACUGUGGGGUAGCGGAACAUCGGAUGUUUGAAUAUUAAGUAUAUUUUUUUUUUUAAGUAUACUUACAAGUAUAAUAUAAUAUAUACUUUUUAUUUUAUAUUAUACUGAGAGAAUUCCGAUAGAUAAUGCUGACAUGAGUAACGAAAAAGUUAACCUCGCCUUAAGCUUAUGGUAUUUUAUUUAAUUUUCGGUGUCUAAGUAAUUAAUCUAAAGAUAAUUGCGAUGACGUAAUGGUGAAUAUGUAAUUAAUAUAUUUAUUAAUUAUAUUUCUAACUAAUUACUAAACUAUUGAUAUACAAUAUGUAUAUAUUUAUUAUUUUAUUGAAAGAUUGCAUAACCUUUGUAAAGUAGCAUAGGUUCAGGAAGUAAAUUUUUCAUUAUAUAUAUAUAUAUAUACUUAGAUAUUGCUGUAUUAAAUUAUAUAGUUAUAGUAGUUAGUAUAUACCGUACCUAGAUACUAACACAAGUAAGCAAGUAGAGUAUACAAAGGCGUUUGAGUGAACAAUCAUUAAGGAACUCGGCAAAUUAACUACCGUAACUUCGGGAUAAGGAGAACCAUUUUUAUUAGUUUGACCAAUUUUUGGAUAAUUAUUAAAUUAAUAGAAAGAGGAGGCAUAGAAUAAUGUUGUACGACUGUUUAAUAAAAACAAAGCACUCUGCCAAGAUAAAAUGUCUAAGUAUUGAGUGUGAUGUCUGCCCAAUGUCGGCUGGAUAACGAAUUUAUCUUGAUAUUUAUUUAAGGUUUUGAAGGAUACCCCGAUCAAUGGCGGCCUUACCUAUGAGGGUCCUAAGGUAGCGGAAUACCUUGGCCGUUAAAUGCGGUCUUUGCAUGAAUGACUUAACGAUACAACAGCUGUCUCGAUGAUUGUCUCAGUGAAAUUGGAAUAGCAGUGCAGAUACUGUUUACCUCUAGAUAGACGAGAAGACCCUAUGCAGCUUUACUGUUACUAAUUACAAGAGAUUAACUUUAAGUUAAUUGCGAGUGUAUAAGGUAGUCGUAAGACAAUAAUGAAACACCUUUAUUUGUACUUAUCAUAUACUCUUGAUGAUUAGGAGGCAGUUUAUGCGGGGCACAGAUCCCACAAAAAGUACCUGGGUAUAUCCAAAGUUCAUAUUGUAAAUUUGUAAAUUAUUAGUUACAAAUAUUUUAAUUUGUUAUUAAUUAUGUUAGUAAUAAUACAGUUAUUAUUAGAUUAAAUUCAGUAUAUUUUUUUAUUUUUAGUAAGAUUUUAACUAUAUGGUGAAUAGAUGUAUUUUAAGCUAAAAGUUGUUUUAGCUUAUUUUUAUAUUAAUAUUGUAUAUGUUCUUUAUUAAUAUAAUUUUUAUAUAUACUAUAAAAGUUUAAUGGCUAAAUCUUGCUUUACUGUUUGACUUACAAGUCUAUCAGUCGCGUAAGCGGGGCAUAUGAUCACAAGAUGCAUAAAGGAAAGGUCUUGGAUUAAAGAAAAAGUUACGCUAGGGAUUUAGCUUAAGUCCCUUAAUAUCAUAAGAUAUUAUAUAUAAUUUGGGUAAAUUUCAAAAACAACUUAAAAAGUGAAUUUGAAGCGAAACUUAUUUUAGCUUUAAUUUUAUAUUGUAUAUAAAAUAAAAUAAGGACGUUCAACGACUAAAAGGUGAGUAUUGCUAACAAUAAUCCUUAUUAGAUACGCCCAACAUCUUUAUAAAUUAUAAUUAGUAUAAAUAUUAUUAUUUUUUUUUUAAUAGUAAUGAAAUAGACUUGAUAUAAUAUCAAGCUUGUUAUUUUAAUAAUAACAUUAAAUAUGAAUAUGUUAAAUAUUAUAAAAUCUAAAUUGAAUACCUCUUAUAAAAAAAAACGUAGUAAUAAUAAAAAUGUUACUAUAAGUUAUAAAAAUUUUGUACCUGCUAUAAGAGAUUGAAAAAAUAGUAUUUAUGUUUAUAAUAAAAAUACUUUAAGUUUAAUACCAGUAGCAAGUAAUUAUAUUAUGAAAUUAAUAAAAGGUUAUUUUAGUUUAUCUAAUUUAAAAUUAGAAAAAAAACUAAGAAAAGAAAAAUUGCGUCGUAGAUCAAUAAAAUUAUCUACUAAUAAAAUUUUUUUAAGUGAUGGUGAAUUUAAACAUACAAAUGAUAAGGUAAUUAUUACAUUAUAUUUAUAUAAUAGACAAAAAUACAAUUAUUUAUAUAAAUUAAAAAAAAGAUAUGUAAGAUUAUUUGUUAAAACUAGAUUUUUAGAAAAAUUAAAUUUAAUUAAAUCUAAAGGAUUAAUUAUUUUAGAAAAACAAAGAAGUUUAAGUCAAGAAUUAAAAAAAAUUUUACCUAGUUAUAAAUCCAAACUAUCUUUUUUUCAACAUUUAUACUAUAAAAAUUUUAUUAAAAAGGCAUUAAAAAGACUUAAGUUUUAUAUGUUUUAUAAACAAUUGCUUUAUAUUAAUCAAAAUAAAUUUAAUUAUUCUUAUUUACAAGGUUUAAUAAAUUUAAUAAAAAAAAUUUUUAAUAAAAAUGUAGAAUUAAACUUAAUAAAUUUAAAGUAUUUUUAUUUUAAUAGUGAUAUUUUUUCACAACCUCUAGUUUUAAAAUUAAGACAAAAAAGAAAUUUAUUGAGAUAUUUAAAAGCUUGUGUUAGAAAAGUAAAAAUAAAAAAAACUAAUGAAACAUUAAAUAGUUAUUUUUUUGAUCUUAAUAAAUUUAAUAGUGUAGAACAUGCUAAUAUUUUAAAUAAUUUGUUUAAUGAAAAAUACGUUAAUAGAUUUAAUAGUUUGUUAUUAAAUUUAUUAAAACAAAAUGAAAAAAUUUAUAGUAACAAUACUGCGGUAAAAAAUAAAUAUGAUUUUAAUAUAUUAAAAUAUAUAAUAUUUAAUAAUAUAAAAUAUAAAAGAGUAUCUGGUGUUAGAUUAGAAGCUGCUGGUAGAUUAACUAAACGUUAUACUGCAUCAAGAUCUCGUUAUAAAGUUAUUUAUAAAGGUAAUUUAGAAAAUACACUUUCUUCUGUUAAAGGUGAUUCCUCUGUAGUAUUAAGAGGAAACUUUAAACCUAAUCUACAAUAUACUAAACUAAAUUCUAAAUCUAGAAUUGGUUCUUUUGGUGUUAAAGGUUGAGUUAGUGGUGAGUAAAUUAUCUGUAUAUAUUAGUAAAAUUAUUCUUAUUUAUAUAAAGAUGAAGAAAUAGUCUGAACCAUUUUUUGAAAAAUGGAAAUAAAUAUUUUAUGAUAACAAGAAUUGAACAGGCUAAUUUGCGCAAGAGAGUACAAAUUGAGUGCGCGGUUUGGCACCUCGAUGUCGGCUUAGCUCAUCCACAUGAAUGCAAAAAUCAUGAAGGGUUCGACUGUUCGUCGAUUAAAGAGCUACAUGAGCUGGGUUUAAUACGUCGUGAGACAGUAUGGUUUCUAUCUUCUAGAGGAAAUUGAAGUAAAAUAAAGAUAGCCCCUUCGUACGAAAGGAGUUGGGUAUGUUGAUCUAUGGUUUACUUGUUGUUUAUAGUGCAAUAUUAUUGCCACUUACUUUUACUUAAGUAAGUUGUUUAUAGGCAUGGCAAGAAAGCUACAUCAAUUAAAGAUAAGUGCUGAAUGCAUUUAAGCGCGAAACUCACUUUAAGAUACUUAUGAACGUAGUAGAACACUACGAUUUAUUAUAAAUAAAAAUUUUUUUUUAUAGUAAAUAGGUUUUAGUUGUAUAUAAUAUAUAUUUUUUAUAUUGACAUAAAAUACUAAUUUUUUUUUUAAUACUAAAAAUUUUCCAUAGCAAUG